rnacentral:rRNA from 1 species
GACGAACGCUGGCGGCGUGCUUAACACAUGCAAGUCGAACGGUAAGGCCCUUCGGGGUACACGAGUGGCGAACGGGUGAGUAACACGUGGGUGAUCUGCCCUGCACUUCGGGAUAAGCCUGGGAAACUGGGUCUAAUACCGGAUAGGACCACUGCCUGCAUGGGUGGGGGUGGAAAGCUUUUGCGGUGUGGGAUGCGCCCGCGGCCUAUCAGCUUGUGGGUGGGGUGAUGGCCUACCAAGGCGACGACGGGUAGCCGGCCUGAGAGGGUGACCGGCCACACUGGGACUGAGAUACGGCCCAGACUCCUACGGGAGGCAGCAGUGGGGAAUAUUGCACAAUGGGCGCAAGCCUGAUGCAGCGACGCCGCGUGAGGGAUGACGGCCUUCGGGUUGUAAACCUCUUUCAGCACCGACGAAGCGCAAGUGACGGUAGGUGCAGAAGAAGGACCGGCCAACUACGUGCCAGCCGCCGCGGUAA